CUUGAGGCUAGCGACGGCUGCCAAUUUGUUGGUAAGGAUCGUUCAUUUCACAAUAAUGUGUACCCCAUAGAGUUUGGAGCAAGAAGCAGAGGAGAUCAUUGCAUUCAGGAAGACUACAGAUUUAAAAAGAGCUGCCUUGUACAUUCCUCUGCCUCUGAUUAGACAUAUGCAAUGCUUCUGUACUCAAGACUACUGUUCACAGUUCUGCUACUCUCUCAAAUUCUCCUGCUGGAAGGUAUCAAAGAUGCUGUUUUGCCCCAGCCCCUUUACGGGACAAAUCGCAAACACCAUUCGAAUAACAAUCUAUGGUAUUCUCGAAAGUUGGGGAGCAGUAAUUUCUCUUCAAGUGAUUUAUUUCUAAUUCUGAAUAAGAAGACUCGAUUACUGAAUACACUUGAAGAGCACAUUCAAUCAUUAUCUAGCCAGCCGGAGAUAUCAUCAGAGCUGAAACUGAAACUGGAUUUGUUGAAAGUGUUCAAGAACGAGUUGAAAGCGACAGAAAAAUCUCUUAGUACAGUUCUCAACGACCUGAGCCAAACACUGAGCAGUGAUUAUCGAUCACUCGAGACAAUUAAAAAUAGCUGCUUUGUGCGAUUGAAUGACAUUCGAAACGCUGCCGUUCUAGUGGAAGAAGACUAUAAUAUAAUAGUGGAAUUAGAGAAAGAAAUGAAAUCCCUUGACCAUAAUAGUAGUAUGCAAACACACUACCACGUUAUCAAUGGCAUAUUUAAGGAGAUAUCUCACGCUGCAGAUGACCUUGAGAACACGCUACAAGAACACUUAUUCAGCUACUCAAAGAAAUCUGUGGGCGCAGAAAUAGAGACAGUGAUCAAAGUGAAGGAUUCGAGGUGGUAUAAUCAUGGUCUCUUUCAUAUGGCCAAGGAUUAUAAUGGCAAGUUGAAACCAAUCGAUCUACAAGAGGGCAUGUCCAUACUAAUAGACUCGUCCAGUAAUCAGUACAUCUUAUCACACCAUCAUGAUGUUACCAUACCGAUAGAAGACCACAACCUAAUCUAUGACAUUGUAUACCUUAUCCUACUUUCGUUCCUUUUUGGAGGCAUCUCAUCUCUGUUCAAAGUUCCCUCGAGUUUUGGCUACAUAUUUGCGGGUACCCUCCUCGGCCCGACCGGCUACAACUGCAUAGAAUCUGUAGUACAGGUGGAGACCAUUGGAGAGUUUGGAGUCAUGUUCAUUGUGUUUGUGGUGGGGUUAGAGUUCACACCAGAGAAACUCAGAAAGGUGUGGAGCAUUGCAGUGUAUGGUGGCAACCUGAUGUUUGUCUGCAGCAUGGUCCUGGCAGUGUUAGUGGGACUGGUUCUGAGUGUACACCCUGUUCAUAGCUUGUUUGUGGCUGCCUGUCUCUCUCUCUCCAGUGGACCCCUCGCACAGCGGCUCAUAGGUGAUGUUGACCAUGACUGUAAACCAACUGGUGAAUUGAAAACUACCAGUUCUUCAAAAGAUUUACAUGAGCUGACAGAGUCCCGUUCCCAUUCCGACUUGGCCACACCCCUUGCCGGCCUCCUAGUGGUUCAGGACAUUCAGCUUGGCUUACUGGUGGCCCUCAUGCCGUUCAUGAGGGGCUCGGACUCCAGCUGGCUAUUCUGGGCGUUACAGUUGAUACAGGUCAUCUUUGGGUUCCCCCUACUUCUCUUCCUCACCAGAGGACUUACUUAUAGACUACUGGAGAUGUUCUACAAGGUUCUUGAGACUACUCUGAACAAGUCUGCCAAUCUACUCCUUGGCUCUCUGGCUGUAUGUUUUAUUUUGUUUCUGAUUGCAGAGAUGUUGGGAGCCUCGCUGGAGUUGGGUGGUUUCCUAGCUGGUGUGGCCGUGAGCUCUCAGGGAGCCAGUGCUGACAGGGUCAGAAAGUUGGUGAAGCCACUUAGAGACCUUUUUGCAGUGUUUUUUUUCGCAUCUCUAGGAUUCCAUGUAUUCCCAACAUUCUUGAGAUCGGAGUUCAUCACUGUUUGUGCUGUCACACUGUUCAUUAUAUUCCUCAAAUUCUCGCUGACAGUGGGGGUCCUGGGGCUGUUCCUCGGUCCCUGUCAGCCCAGUACGUGGACUCUCUCCCUCAGUCUGGCUCAGAUGAGUGAAUUCUCCUUCGUUCUGGCGAGCAGGGGGCGGAGACUCGGUAUCGUAUCCAGAGAGGUGUACUUGGUAAUACUGAGCACAGCGACUGUGAGUCUCCUCAUGGCUCCCCUCCUGUGGCAUCUCUUCCGAUCCAGACUGAGGAGAGUGUCCAUCGAGAAACCUUACCCACUGCCCCCGGAUCAUAUCAGCCACAUGAGGCGGGCAUUGAGCAGGUAGAGGUACAACACCAUGGCGAGAAACAUGAUGAUAACAAUCAGCAGUCCAAGAAUGACUCAGACAUAAUACUUCCAAUAGACACAGGAGAUGUCCCACAACAAAAAUACCUCAGUCUUGAGUUUGACGCGGCCUUCCAUGAGCACAAGAAGACCAGUUUGGUGAAGCCAAUGCAUGAUAUCCUCGGAAUUGUCUACAAAUGGACGAAGCUCAUCACUUAUCACGUCUUUGUGUUUAUCAUUGGGAUUCCACUAAUGAUAGUCUGGGCUCUGGUAAAUGGCAUAACGGCAUUCACCUACUCGUGGCUUUGGAGUCCUGCUAUGCGUAUCACUAUCUUCUGGAUUGCAGCUACACUACCUCUGGUUACCAUGCCACUGGUGACCAUCUUCAGGCCUUUGACAGAUGUGGCAGCUCGCUGCCUCAGUCAGAUCCGUGUAAAAGCAGCCCUCGAUGGAAAAGGAUUUGUUCAAAAUGUAUAAUGAGGACUUUUAAUGUUACUAACGGUACAGUACACUGUACACGCAUCUUGUUAUGUGAUUGCCACAAUUCCCUUCCUGUAUCCUCUCAAUUAUAAUGAGUUUUUUGUAGUAUGUAGCUUUUAUAUGAGUUUUGCAUUACUUUUCAUUUCACAUUUCUUUCGAAGUUACAACUGAGUCGAUGGCCCUGACUUCUACUCGACUCGUAGUUGCUAGUUUCUAGUUAGCAUGCAAUUGCUACAGUGGAACGGUCAACCCAUAACGUCUAUAACUCUGAAGAGCAACCAACCUCAGCUCAAGUCCGGAUUGAAACUAGACUACAAUGUAAAGCAACCUCUCAGGAACGGCCACCUUUCUACUCCGUUACUAUAUAGCUCCAAGAUACACUUAUAGGAUCGACUCAUACAUGUAUUAAAAUUGUAAUCGAAACCUCUCAACUAACAACUCUCUAAAACAACUAACAACUCUCUAAAACGGACAAAAAAGGCUGUUCCCCAAUGGUUUCCGUUUUAUGGAGGUUUGUUAGUGUAGCACGUACUCAACAGAGGUGGAUCCAGUGGCUGGGAUAUAUAGGGCACGCUUAAUUGCGCACCGAAAAACACGCCCAUUUAAAUGCAUAAGGUAAAUGUUGGUAUAAUGAGUCACCUAAGCUUAAUUAUAAAUUUCUCUGGAGAUAAUCGUUGAAAAAAGUAAAAUUUACGCCAUAAUACAAUUAAGAUAUGGUGGAUUAUGAAAAUCAGGUUAUUUUUUCCAAUUAUGUCACUUAAAUAAAUUUUAAUUUAAUUGUAACGAUGUACUAAAUGCAAAUUUUGGGGAACGAUGGUAUUAUGGGUCACUAAAAAAAAGAGGUGUAGAGGCUUGUACUACAAGCAUGAACUACCGUAGAAAGUAUAAAUUAAUAAUCAAUUAAUCAUCCUCUGUACAUUCACUUUCUCUCUGAAUGAAGUCAGCUAGGUUAUGGGUACAGCCAUUCGGUGCUGGUAUAUCCUUCUACCAUUUCCAGACAUGCACACAAUCAGAUCUAGAUGUUAAUGUUAAAAAGUUCAGCGAGUUGCAAUAUCAUAGUGAUACCAUAAUACCGCCUGUAAAGAUUAAUAAUCUAUUUUACACCUUGUAUAUGUGUAGCCAAACCACAGGGCCGGCCUGCUCUUGUAAGCGUGGGAGGGAGAGAAGGUUCUCUCCCUCCCACGCUUACAAGAGAACCGUGGAAUUCGAGACUAAGGGCUUACUUACUAGCUCCUUACCGUACCCUUCUAUCUAUAUGGCUCAUUAGAACAAAUCCUUCCCUUUUCCAUCGGAGGACCGCUUUUACAUGUCAAUAGCAUAAUGGCAUUCCCCUACUCGUAUAUAUAUAUAGUAGCUACCAUUACACAUAGCCAUAAUUGGUCCCACCGAAUAGUGGUCAAAAUAGUUUAGUUUCCGUAGUAACAAGCUCUGUAUUUCAAGUGAGGUGAAAAGAUUAAUGGUAGAUUUAUAGCAUGGUAGAUUCUACAGUAAUGUAUAGAGGUACGUAUCAGAUCGAACUCCACUUGUAAUGUGCAGAGCAGUAAUAAGUUAUAUACAUCGGCCAUUCAUUAAUUGUAUAGUAAGAGAAAGUAGUGGGAAGACAAUAAAAACAUUCAUUGUUUAUGUUAAAUGCACAAGGAACAUGUAUUUAGAUAUUCAUAUUGCCCACCAAAUCAUGUGAUGACAAUUAGAACUAGGGCUGCAUCUACUAGCAUCAAGCAUUAAGCACGAAAUGGAGACCAGGCCGCCUCCUGUAUAACCCUUUCCUUACCAUUCGUGAAAGUCUGGAACAGGAGCGUCUUUAGGUCGAUCAAUUAGUGUGGAUCCGGCCUCACCACGCCUCCAUGUCAUUCUAUUAGUCUAGAUCCGGCUAGCAAUUCUAGCUGGGACUCCCAGUUCUAGCUCGUUUUGUUUAGCGUGUCAGAGACUGGGAGAAGAUGAUUGGCACUCCCUGGCUCCUUUGGAUGUACAGCUGUCCAGAUCCCUAGAACAUACCCUCCAUUCUGACGAGUUAUCAGUGCAUAGGGUGCUUACUAGAUUCUUGCCAGCCAGUACAGUUCAAGCUACACACAGCACCGCUCAACUAUUCUCUACCCCAUUAUCUAGCUAAAUCUGGUCCAACUAGACAGCAGACACAGCUAGUUAAUUCAGUAAAGCCAGGGGUAGCCCUACUUCUACGGUUGUUCAGUACCCACGGUAACAAUUCCUCUGGGCUGGGCUAACUAGUUGAGCCACGCCUCCCAAUUCUCAAGGCUAGGUACAUGUCUCUGUCUAGCUGCUUCUUCAGCUUCUUGCUCAGUUUUGUGGCUUAGAGAAAGGCCAGCUACUCAGGGGGAAGAGUCCAGAUGAAAGUCUGGCAGCCAGGUGACGUCCAAACGGUCAGUUAUUCGUUCCACCAACUUUUUAAUCUAGUCUAGUCAGUGAGUCCUGCUUGCACUGCUACUACUACUGCUACUCUUCCUACUACUACUGCUGCUACUCUUCCUAGCUAGUCAAAGGUUUCUUUUUUUUUUUUUUUUUUU